GCUACAGUCCAUGGGGUGACAAAAGAGUCAGACACGACUUAGCAACUAAACAACAACAGGAGUUUGAUAGCUGAAGAAGCCACCAGUCAUUUAACAGGCAAGGACCAAUAGAAUCAAAAUCACUUUGCUGCAGUUUGGUCCUCAGAAAGGUGUGGGUGUGGCUAGGGCUGUCACUGUUCCCAGUGUCCAUGCUCCCCUUCUUUUUGUUAAAAAUAACACACCCCUAACUUUUCUGUGGGCACAUAGCCACCCAGCUAUAGACAGGAUUUUGCAGACUCCCUUGAUCCCAGCUGUAGUCAUCUGAUUAAUUUUGCAUCAGUGGAAUGUGUAACCUCCCUGUCAUUUCUUCAAAAAGAAAGAGCUUACUUCCUGUGAAGCAAAGCACUGGCAAUCAUUCAGCUAUGAUCAUGGAGGUGAUAUGCUAGGUGCUGCUGUGGCAAGAACAUGGGAGGAACCUGGGCUUCUGUAUGAUUUUGUGGAACACAGCUGCCCUUGUCACUUGGACCACUCAUCUUUGACUGUUAGGCGAAGAAGAGGUUAUGACUCAGUGAGAAGGCAACCGUCUUCAAGUCAGGAAGAGAGCCCUCACCAGAAACUGAACUAGCCAGGACCACGAUCUGGGACUUUCAGCCUCCACAACUUCACUGUCAGCCCUGAGAACAAUGACUGACACAUAGAAGAGACUCAGCUC